rnacentral:sRNA from 1 species
CUGGUCUAACCAAAAUGAGCUAUCUGCUGUAAAAGUAGGUAAUGUAUACAAGUGCGGGCGAAGCGAAUAAGAUCGCCAGUUACAUUAUUUUCUAAGAAGCGAGAAAAGAUCUUCAUUGCUGAAAUCACAAUUAUGUACUUUGGUUAGCUCUCUUUCUUGCAUUUCCCUUGUUGCUUUUCUCUUUUUUGAUCUUGCAGACUUCUUUUUCUGGCUCAUCCUGGCUUGCCAAUAAGGGAGGUAGAGCUUUUCCCAUCACCUUGGAUUCAUUUGCCACUGCACGUUCGCAACUUUUCUACACUCUUUCAAGGCAUUAGGAACCCCCAUCUUGUCGAUGACCAAGUAAUCCCACUUGGGAUCGAGGAUGGCAUCCAGAUCUUUCCCAGAAACCCUCUCUACAACCCGCACCUCUUCUGCACCCAGACAUGUUGAACAUAGAGUUAGAAGGGACUAGAAGAUGUGUCAAAACCUCAAUGGAUCGAUAGGAGUAAGUAGAUGAGCUUACACUGAGAGAAUUUCUGGGCUGUAUGAAAAGUACUUUUUUUCCCUUGAAAGGUUUGAGCAGGUGUCCAGCCUUGACUGGAUCCCAGUUUUCUGUCCCCCACGAUGUGUCGACAACCUGGG